rnacentral:rRNA from 1 species
GAUGAACGCUGGCGGCGUGCCUAAUACAUGCAAGUCGAGCGAACAGACGAGGAGCUUGCUCCUUUGAUGUUAGCGGCGGACGGGUGAGUAACACGUGGGUAACCUACCUAUAAGACUGGGAUAACUUCGGGAAACCGGAGCUAAUACCGGAUAAUAUUUCGAACCGCAUGGUUCGAUAGUGAAAGAUGGCUUUGCUAUCACUUAUAGAUGGACCUGCGCCGUAUUAGCUAGUUGGUAAGGUAACGGCUUACCAAGGCAACGAUACGUAGCCGACCUGAGAGGGUGAUCGGCCACACUGGAACUGAGACACGGUCCAGACUCCUACGGGAGGCAGCAGUAGGGAAUCUUCCGCAAUGGGCGAAAGCCUGACGGAGCAACGCCGCGUGAGUGAUGAAGGUCUUCGGAUCGUAAAACUCUGUUAUUAGGGAAGAACAAACGUGUAAGUAACUGUGCACGUCUUGACGGUACCUAAUCAGAAAGCCACGGCUAACUACGUGCCAGCAGCCGCGGUAAUACGUAGGUGGCAAGCGUUAUCCGGAAUUAUUGGGCGUAAAGCGCGCGUAGGCGGUUUUUUAGUCUGAUGUGAAAGCCCACGGCUCAACCCGUGGAGGGUCAUUGGAAACUGGAAAACUUGAGUGCAGAAGAGGAAAGUGGAAUUCCAUGUGUAGCGGUGAAAUGCGCAGAGAUAUGGAGGAACACCAGUGGCGAAGGCGACUUUCUGGUCUGUAACUGACGCUGAUGUGCGUAAGCGUGGGGAUCAAACAGGAUUAGAUACCCUGGUAGUCCACGCCGUAAACGAUGAGUGCUAAGUGUUAGGGGGUUUCCGCCCCUUAGUGCUGCAGCUAACGCAUUAAGCACUCCGCCUGGGGAGUACGACCGCAAGGUUGAAACUCAAAGGAAUUGACGGGGACCCGCACAAGCGGUGGAGCAUGUGGUUUAAUUCGAAGCGACGCGAAGAACCUUACCAAAUCUUGACAUCCUUUGACCCUUCUAGAGAUAGAAGUUUCCCCUUCGGGGGACAAAGUGACAGGUGGUGCAUGGUUGUCGUCAGCUCGUGUCGUGAGAUGUUGGGUUAAGUCCCGCAACGAGCGCAACCCUUAAGCUUAGUUGCCAUCAUUAAGUUGGGCACUCUAAGUUGACUGCCGGUGACAAACCGGAGGAAGGUGGGGAUGACGUCAAAUCAUCAUGCCCCUUAUGAUUUGGGCUACACACGUGCUACAAUGGACAAUACAAAGGGCAGCGAAACCGCGAGGUCAAGCAAAUCCCAUAAAGUUGUUCUCAGUUCGGAUUGUAGUCUGCAACUCGACUACAUGAAGCUGGAAUCGCUAGUAAUCGUAGAUCAGCAUGCUACGGUGAAUACGUUCCCGGGUCU